AGCAUAACGGAGUGCCUCAGGCAUGAGAGAUGCUCAGUACACAUUGGACCUGGUCCUGGUGCUGCACCCACACCUUUCCGUAUGAUGCCAGGUUUGCCAUCUUUUGUUUAUCUAUUCACCAGUGGAAGGGUGUUUGAAAAGUCUGGGCUAUGGUGAAGAAUGCUUCUAUGAACAUUUACAUUUCCAUCCUUUUGUGGACAUAUGUUUUCGUUUCUCUUGUGAAGAUUCCUCGGAGUGGAAUUGCUGGAUCAUGCGGCACUUAAAGCAAUAAAAAGCAGUUUGGGAAUUUCUGCCAAUGAUGCCUUUUCAUUAUAUGAAACAUCUGUUAACUACCUGCUAUGUGACAA